CGCUAUUUGAGGGAGAUCGUAAUUGUGGUUUAUUCUGAGUUCUUGGAAUUGUACAAGAGUGUCACGAUUGAUGCAAUGGUUAAGGCAUUUGGAGUUACAGAGGAGUUUAUUGAUCUGGAACUCUUGUGAUUUAUUGCAGCAACAAAGCUUCAUUGCAAGAUUGACAAAGUUGCAGGUGUUCUUGAGACCAAUCGAGAUGCAAAGCAUGCUCUUUACCAAGCAACUAUCAAGCAAGGGGAUUUCCUAUUAAAUCGGAUCCAGAAGCUGUCUCGUGUUAUUGAUCUGUGAGUUGGGUAGAUUCAUACGGAACAGAUCAGCAAUGGACUUCGAUUACGUUCAUUACAUGCUGACAGAAGGGAGAAAAGAUAUGCACCAUGCCAACAUAUAUCUUAAAGCAACUUUUAUUCAAUGGUGUGGAGUCAAAUGGCGUGGGAUUUAAUUGGUAUUGCUGAGACUGGUUCUGUUUGUUUCAAUCGCACAGUACAAGGUGAAGGUCCUAUUGUAUUGGUGUUAGCACCUACUAGAGAGCUAGUGGUUUAGAUUCAAUAAGUGCUAAUAUUAGAAGUACCUGCAUAUAAGGUGGUGCUCGUAAAGGACCUCAAAUCCGUGACCUUAA